GUGCAUGGUAGGCAGUUUGACUGGGGCGGUCUCCUCCCAAAGCGUAACGGAGGAGUACGAAGGUACGCUAGGUACGGUCGGAAAUCGUGCUGAUAGUGCAAUGGCAUAAGCGUGCUUAACUGCGAGACCGACAAGUCGAGCAGGUGCGAAAGCAGGUCAUAGUGAUCCGGUGGUUCUGUAUGGAAGGGCCAUCGCUCAACGGAUAAAAGGUACUCUGGGGAUAACAGGCUGAUACCGCCCAAGAGUUCAUAUCGACGGCGGUGUUUGGCACCUCGAUGUCGGCUCAUCUCAUCCUGGGGCUGUAGCCGGUCCCAAGGGUAUGGCUGUUCGCCAUUUAAAGAGGUACGUGAGCUGGGUUUAAAACGUCGUGAGACAGUUUGGUCCCUAUCUGCCGUGGGCGUUGGAUAUUUGAAGGGGGCUGCUCCUAGUACGAGAGGACCGGAGUGGACGAACCUCUGGUGUACCGGUUGUCACGCCAGUGGCAUCGCCGGGUAGCUAUGUUCGGAAGAGAUAACCGCUGAAAGCAUCUAAGCGGGAAACUCGCCUUAAGAUGAGAUAUCCCUGGGGACUAGAUCCCCUUGAAGGGUCGUUCGAGACCAGGACGUUGAUAGGUCGGGUGUGUAAGCGCAGUAAUGCGUUCAGCUAACCGAUACUAAUUGCCCGUAAGGCUUGAUCCUAUAACA
rnacentral:rRNA from 1 species